GUGCCAGCAGCCGCGGUAAUACAGAGGUCUCAAGCGUUGUUCGGAUUCAUUGGGCGUAAAGGGUGCGUAGGUGGCGGGGUAAGUCUGGUGUGAAAUCUCGGGGCUCAACCCCGAAACUGCACUGGAUACUGCCUUGCUUGAGUACUGGAGAGGAGAUUGGAAUUUACGGUGUAGCAGUGAAAUGCGUAGAUAUCGUAAGGAAGACCAGUGGCGAAGGCGAAUCUCUGGACAGUUACUGACACUGAGGCACGAAGGCCAGGGGAGCAAACGGGAUUAGAUACCCCGGUAGUCC
rnacentral:rRNA from 1 species